GCCAACGACACCACCCUCAGCCCCCAGGGAAAGCCUUUUGAUCUACCCGGCAACCAAGCCAUCAGCUGGGGUGGAGCCAUACGCAGGGAUCUCCCACCUGCUGCGUACUACAUUCAAGCCCUCGGAGCUCGGACUCGGCAGCGUCGAGAUCAAGCAAGUGCGAGUACCCUCGCGAUCCCCACCCGAAGACAGACAGCAACCCCGAUUCGACCAUAAAAUUGUUUAUUCCUCAAGAAGCCUGUAAUCAAGAACCAACUACCGCCGACCAUCAUCCAGCAAGCCGUCCAGAUCCAUAAUUCGACCAUAGAACUGUUAAAACAUCAAGCAUCAUGUAAAAAGAACUUUCAACAACCAUCGUCAACUAGCCCGAAACGCCACUCAAGAGAAGUCAUCAGAGAAGAACUGGGGGGGAGGGAGAUACAUUUUAGUAAUU
rnacentral:lncRNA from 1 species